rnacentral:lncRNA from 1 species
AAGACUUUGAUAGAAUGAGAAAGAGAAAUCAAAGAAGAUAUAACUUCAAUGGCUUGUCUGAGACUGCUGGCUGAGUUUUGAUCUUGUGGAUAUUUUGCUUCUCCCAUUUUCAGCUAAUCCUUAAUUUUGGACCAAGCUCAUUCUUUUUUUUUUUUUUUAAUUUUAUUUCGUCUUAGAUGAAGAGAUGAGGCAAAGGCGAGGCAACUGACUGCUGCACUUCGUGUUUUCGAUGGUUAUCUUCUCUUUGUAGCUGAAACAGAAUUGGGCACUAUUAUUGUGCAUUUACAGGUCUGACCUUUUGGGAGGUUGUGUAAUAGUGACAAGUCAAUGGAGUGAAGAUAAGGGUAAUUAUGUCAUAUUGAAUGAAGGAUGUAAUUAAAUGAAAACUGAAAAGGAGUAGCUAACCAAGCUAAGAACUGUUGGACGUUGGAAGUACAUUAAAGUCACAGAUUGUUUAAAGGACAAGGUAAAGUUGGGUGCAAGGACAACUGGUGACUGGAGGUUGAAAUUUUGGGAUUUUAUCUCUUCUCUAACGAGAUUGUUUGCAUGUACGUGAAAUAAUUUAUAAUGG